CUGCACCCCCUUUAAUACUAAGCAAUCCUAUUUCCAGCACAGUUAUGUCAGCACAGGUAUCCUGAAUAAGACUGUUGAGAAACAUGUUCUGUGCACCAACAAAAAUGCAGUGCAUGUCCUUUGGGUAAUAUUCUUUUUCUUCUAGUUCAGGUUCACAGAGACCCUUAAUAUACUCCUUGGCGCUCCGCACGGCCUUCCCGCCGCCCGCCAGCUGCACCCAGAUCCUGGCGGCGGGCGGCGGCUGUCCCGGCGGCGGGAGGGCGGGCCGCCAGUCCCCCUGAGCCUCCAGGACGGCCAGCCGCACCUCGAACAGGCCCUGGAUGCGGCCCCGGCUGCCCUCCAGGAAGCGGCGUUUCUCGGCCGGGACGGUGAAUUCGUCCAGGCCCGGCCCGGGGCCGUGGGCCGCCCAGCGAGCCGCCAUCAGCGCCAGCCGCGCCGGGCCGCGCUCCGGCCUCCCAUCCCGCCGGGCCGCAGGACAACAACACGGGGAAUCCCCGGGCUCCCUUCACUCGGUGCGUGCGUCAUCAGCCCGCGACGGCAGCACCGCCUCACCAGGAAGUGGGCCGUGCCCCCUCCGCGCCCAGGCGCCAUCUUUGCCGAGGGCGGCCACGGCUCCUCUGGUUUUGUCAGGCAACGCCCCGCCUUUACCACGUGGUGUGCGGUUUCUUGCUGAGCUCUGAGCCGAGCUGGGGUCUAGCGAGGCGGCUUCUCCUUGUAUUAUUAUUUUUUUUUACCGUCUAGUACUCGCUGCGGACGGAAUAGUGCUGUGGCGUGAGGUGAGGAGGCGCCUUAGUGCCGCGCGCCACCACCACAGAGCCGGCAGCACGGAGCAGCCAGCGCCAUGUGCAGCCUUCACCAUGUGCAGCCUUCACGGGGACGGCCCCGAGGGAGGGCGCGGGAGGGGCUCCGCGCAGCGAGGGAAUUUCGUUCCCCUGUGCGCUUCCGCGGCUCGGAGGCUUUGUGUGAGCCCCCCUUAGUGGUUUCAGCAGUGUUCUGGUGUCAUCGUGGUGGAUUUCGUUCAGAAAAAAAAAAAAAUCAUUAAAAAAAAGUAAGUUUUAUCCCUUGUGAUCGUAAAGGGAGAAAUGUCCCACCAGUGGGGGUAGCUCUGAGGCUCUGCCAGGUUCUUGAAUAGCUGCAGUUGUCAGUACGGAGCAACUGCUGUACAAAAGAGUAAAUAUUUUGAGUCUUUCUCAUUUCCUAACCUGACCACAACGAACAUCCUCCAAAUUCUCGCUAUUUGAUCCCCCCUGGGUUUCAUCCAUCUCUCAGGUGUUGCUGUGGUGUUGGUUUUUCACAGCUGUUCAUUAAAUGCAUCCUCCAGAGGGAGAGUGAAUAUCUUUUGCAUCUAAACGUCCCUAUUUUGUUCCUUUAACACACGACCUUACAGUGGGAGAGGGUAAAUACAAAGUAUCGUUUUGAUAAAGGCACUGUUUGUCUAUUUAGAAACAACUGAACUGCGUGACAGAUUGCAGUCCGAGCCUAUCUGAAGGUCACACCAAACACGCACAGCUGUAUACUUUUUGCUCUCUGAAUUUACAGCGUUAUAUCUUUGAGUGCAAUGUAAUUGUUGCUGUAGUUAAAUGGGGCGAGUUACACUUGUGCACACAGCAUUUACACACACCCAUGUGUUCUGAAACAGGAUAUGGUUCUAAUGUCGAUAUUAUAUUUGAGAAAGGUGAUCGAUUUUCCCAAAGAUAUAUUUUAUUUUUUCAAAAAACAAUCCCCUUAUUUGUAGAUUAAACGCUUAUUUGCUUUCCCAUCAGUUAAAUUACGUUCUAACAUACACAUUGGGUUGCUGGGCAAUUUCUGGAGGUGGUUGGUGCCAUCGGCUGUUACAACGUGGUCACUGCAGCCAUUGCUGCAUUACAGCCUCUGUUAACCAUAAAUGGAAUUGCAAGCAAGAAACUUUACAUUAAAAAUGAAACGAUAAGCAACUUUGAGGUACAAAAUAAAAUUAAAAAGCUGAAGUAAGAUGCUUUUACUUCUUUUCUCACGUCAACACUGCUUUUUGGAAUGCCCCAGGAUAGCUGAAAAUGUACUGGUUUCUAAAUAAAGUGGAUAAUGGUUGGUGCUCUUUAUAUAGAUGGAGUAUUUUGCCAUAUAUAUGUUAUAAAACUUGCUCUUACUGCAGAGUUUAUUGUAGUCUG
rnacentral:lncRNA from 1 species